rnacentral:rRNA from 1 species
AUUGAACGCUGGCGGCAGGCCUAACACAUGCAAGUCGAGCGAGCGGCGGACGGGUGAGUAAUGUAUGGGGACUGCCCGAUAGAGGGGGAUAACUACUGGAAACGGUGGCUAAUACCGCAUACUAUCGGAUAACCCAUAUGGGAUUAGCGAGUAGGUGGGGUAAAGGCUCACCUAGGCGACGAUCCCUAGCUGGUCUGAGAGGAUGAUAGGCCACAUUGGGACGGAGACACGGCCCAGACUCCUACGGAGGCAGCAGGGGGGAAUCUUCCACAAUGGGCGAAAGCCUGACGGAGCCAGGCCGCGUGAGUGAAGAAGGUGUUAGGUUCGUAAAGCACUGUUGUCGGGGAGGCGUUCCCCGAAGAGAAAGCCCCGGCUAACUCCGUGCCAGCAGCCGCGGGAAUAC